CUACUACUCCCUCCGUCCGAAAAUACUUGUCAUUGAAAUGGAUGUAUCUAGAUGUAUUUUAGUUCUAGACAUCCAUUUUGAUGACAAGUAAUUCUGGACGGAGGGAGUAUUAU
rnacentral:pre_miRNA from 1 species